rnacentral:rRNA from 1 species
UACGGGGGGGGCAAGCGUUGUUCGGAAUUACUGGGCGUAAAGGGCGCGUAGGCGGUUUGCUAAGUUGCAUGUGAAAACUCUGGGCUUAACCCAGAGCCUGCAUUCAAUACUGGCAGGCUGGAGUUCUGGAGGGGAUAGCGGAAUUCCUGGUGUAGCGGUGAAAUGCGCAGAUAUCAGGAGGAACACCGGUGGCGAAGGCGGGUCUCUGGGCAACAACUGACGCUGAGGAGCGAAAGCGUGGGGAGCGAACAGG